UUAGGAGAGACAAAGAUUUCCUUGAGGCAAUGACUUUUUUCCAAAUAAGGAAACAAGGGAAAUUCUCUCGCUUGCUCCUUCUCUCUUGUACAUGUUAUGGAAAAGCUUGCAAAGGAAGGCGGUGGAUUAUGCACCUUUUUGUCACAAACUACAAGAGGAACUCUGUGCUACUGUCCUACAAUAAAGCAUCUGGAUCAUCUAGGUGGAAUGGAUUACAAAAGCCAUCUAAUCCAACAGUAAUAUACCACUGAAGCACUUCAACCUCAAAACUAUGAAAAUCCAUCAACCUCUGAAGCAGUCUAUUCCACCGAGAAAAUGUGAUUUGUCCAAUGUGUAUUGUAACCCUGAUCUCCAGUCAUAAUCCAAUGCUCAAAUGAUACAGCAUACUGGCUCCUACACGAUUCCCAUUAUUUUGGAACUGUGGGUCAUGGCUCCACUAUGCUACUGACUGUGACUUGAAAGACCAAAAGUUCGG
rnacentral:lncRNA from 11 species